AAGCGAUACCCCAGUUUAGCUGAUGUAGUAGGACCCGGACAUUGUCUUGAGCUUAGUUGCAUGCCUGUUGCACUUCCUCGGCUGGGAGUUCCCUUUCUUCUGUAUCCAGUUCGUGUUUCUUGGGUAAUGAUAAGUAAUAAUUCUUUAAAAAUACUUCUUUAGCAGUACACCAUGGAAGUAUUGAUGUUGUAGCUGUACUCUUCUCGUUGCUUGUUUGUACAGUUUAUUUUUUUGUGUGUGGGAUCCCAGGACUCCUGGCUUGCCUCUUUACGAACGAAGUUCAAGAAUGAAAGACGUAGGUUGCCCGAUGACCAAAGGAUCAUUGAAAACAGGGUGAAGUAUGGCGGUCAAAAGCGAAAGAGAUCAGAUGGCAACGUAGAGGAGGAGCUGAAGCGGAGGAAACUACACGGACCUGUCACGACCGAAGUCACUGUAUGCAGUGUUGCGAUCGAGGGAGAAGAUGGCAAUUUUCAAGAUCUUGAGGACUGGCUAAUCAAAGAAAAUGAGAGUGACUCGCCAAAUGAAGAGUUAAUUGAUUGGAAGAUGAAAUUAACCUUGAAACAACGAACUGCGGCCAUUGUAAGCGUUCCUGUGUUGCAGACCAAGCUCACAUACCCGUACC